ACAGCAGUCGCCACGGUAAUACGGAGGAUCCAAGCGUUAUCCGGAAUCAUUGGGUUUAAAGGGUCCGUAGGCGGUCUUGUAAGUCAGUGGUGAAAGCCCAUCGCUCAACGGUGGAACGGCCAUUGAUACUGCAGGACUUGAAUUAUUGGGAAGUAACUAGAAUAUGUAGUGUAGCGGUGAAAUGCUUAGAGAUUACAUGGAAUACCAAUUGCGAAGGCAGGUUACUACCAAUUGAUUGACGCUGAUGGACGAAAGCGUGGGUAGCGAACAGGAUUAGAUACCCCCGUAGUCCCUGUCUCUUAUAC
rnacentral:rRNA from 1 species